AAACCAGGCGAAGAGUGCAAACGCAGAAGGGAGCUUAACUGCGAGACCGACAGGUCGAGCAGGUGCGAAAGCAGGUGUUAGUGAUCCGGUGGUCCUGCGUGGAAGGGCCAUCGCUCAUCGGAUAAAAGGUACUCUGGGGAGUAACAGGCGUGAUCGCGCCUGAGAGUUCACAUCGGCGGCGCGGUUUGGCACCUCGAUGUCGGCCCAUCGCAUCCUGGGGCUGGAGCAGGUCCCAAGGGUUCGGCUGUUCGCCGAUUAAAGCGGUACGCGAGCUGGGUUUAAAACGUCGUGAGACAGUUUGGUCCCUAUCUGCCGUGGGCGUAGGACACUUGAGUGGGGCUAUCCAUAGUACGAGAGGACCUGGAUGGACGGACCCCUGGUGAUCCGGUUGUCAUGCCAAUGGCACAGCCGGGUAGCCAAGUCCGGAAUAGAUAACCGCUGAAAGCAUCUAAGCGGGAAGCUAGCCACAAGACAAGGUGUCCCGAGCGCAAGCUCCUCAA
rnacentral:rRNA from 1 species